AGGGGAGGCCGGGGGGCCGCUUGGUGCCCAAGAUUUCUCAGACGUCCCAGAGCCCUGACUCUGCUGCCAGCUUGCUUUACAGUGAGGCCAAGGAAGGAGCCACGGAGGGUGUGCUGGCCCUAGGAGCAGGAUUCCUGUGUGUUCACUAAGCUUGCAGCAUCAAGAAGCCACCAGCCAGCAUGGACAUGUGAGCGUCAGAGGGUGAGCAAGGCAACAGCCAGGACCAGGUGGAGCCAGGGGCCCCGCAGGUGCAGCCAGGACGGACAUAGGGAGACCUUGGUCCCAACAAGGGCAGUGUCUCGAUGGCCAGGCAGGAGUGGGGACGCUGUUGAGAAAUGUUCUCCACAGCAGCUCAGGCAGCAGGAAAGACCCAGCCAUCAGGUCAGCGCCGUGGUCUCCCAGCCAGCGUGCGCAUGGCUGCAAAUAGAGAAAAACACACCAGGAGGUCACACCCAAGGUCACUGCCGAUCCCAGCACAGGGAGCCCCUGGCAAGGCCAUUCCUGUGCUGGGCUAAGCCAACGCUGGACUCUGAUUCAGCUGACAGCCCACAGGAGCUCCGUUUCUAGUGUUGGCAGCAACGUAUCAUCGCUCCAGCUUUGACUAAAACUGAAGGUUCCGAUCAGUAUUGUGUUUCCAGUUAAGUAUGAAAUGAAGGGCAGGGCACAGGUCUCUGCGUGCCUCUCCCACA
rnacentral:lncRNA from 1 species